rnacentral:rRNA from 1 species
AAUCUUUCACAAUGGACGGAAGGCUGAUGGAGCAACGCCUCGUGUGCGAAGAAGGUUUUCUUUUCGUAAAGCUCUGUUGUAAGGGAAGAUAACAUACGGGUGUUUUUGCCCUUACCUUUACGUUUCCUUAUCAGGAAGCCACCGCUAACUUCGAGCCAUCAGCCGCGGUAAUACGUAGGUGGUAAGCGUUGUCCGGAAUUAUUGGGCGUUAAGCGCGCGCAGGCGGUCCUUUAAGUCUGAAGUGAAAGCCCACGGGUAAACAGUAGAGGGUCAUUGGAAAAUGGAGGACUUGAGUACAGAAGAGGAAAGCGGAAUGCCACGCGUAGCGGUGAAAUGCGUAAAGAUGUGGAGGAACACCAGUGGCGAAGGCGGCUUUCUGGUCUGUAACUGACGCUGAGGCGCGAAAGCGUGGGGAGCAAACA